rnacentral:rRNA from 1 species
UACGGAGGGUGCGAGCGUUAUCCGGAUUCACUGGGUUUAAAGGGAGCGUAGGUGGGCUUGUAAGUCAGUGGUGAAAUCUCUGGGCUUAACCCGGAAACUGCCAUUGAUACUAUAGGUCUUGAAUUCUCUGGAGGUAAGCGGAAUAUGUCAUGUAGCGGUGAAAUGCUUAGAUAUGACAUAGAACACCCAUUGCGAAGGCAGCUUACUACGGAGACAUUGACACUGAGGCUCGAAAGCGUGGGGAUCAAACAGG